AUUACUUUUUUUCCUGGCAGCACUGAUAACUUCACACUGGUGAACUUUACUGUAUCUGAUCCUUGCCUGAGUCUGCAGAGAGCCUGUAAUAAUAUCUCAUGGAAUCAUAGAGUGGCUUAAGUUGGAAGGGACCUUAAAGAUCAUGUAACUCCAACCCCCCUGACAUAGGCAGGGAUGCCACCCACUAGAUCAGGCUGACCAAGGUUCCAUGCAGCCUACCUAUAUCUCCAAGAGAUACAAACUGCUCCUACUAACUGCCUUAGUGGGUGGUGUAAUUGUUCAGCUGAUUAAUUAGUUUUUUGUUUGUUUGUUUGUUUUUUGUUAACUAUGACUGAAACUACUUCUCAGUUUUGACUCAAUUCCAGGAACCACUUCCUUGAAAAUAGAUUUUCCAGCACAUAGAUGAUCUUUCUUCUCAGACUGUUAUUGUUUAGGACAAUCACUAAAUAGCUAUCACUUUUAAAUAUAAUGCAUGUGGUUUCUGAGUUUGCCUUCUAUUCCUCUAAUAUUCCACAGCUAUUUUUGAGAUGGAAGCAGAAUCUCUUUGAACAUUCUCUUUCCCUCAUUUUUAUUGCUUGUUCAGCCUUUGAUGCAAGUGACUCAUGCUCAUAUUAUGCACCUGAGUCUUUUAACAUAUUGUAAAUUCUCCCAGGAGACCUUUCCCUUGCUGCCCUCAGGGGAAUACAGAUGUCAACCUGUGUCUUACUGUAUGUAGUCUCCCUACAGUGGCUUAAUAGAUCAAUGAUACGCUUAACAGGCAAAAUGCUUUCAGUAAUGACAUAAUCCUGAAUUAAGAGAGAAUCUGUUGCAGUCCCAGCAUUCACAGCAUGAUGGUGACUGGGUGCCCUGCUUACAUUGUGACAUAAUAAAGUCAUCUUGUGCAGACAGCAGUAGUAUAUCUAGCACAACAAGUCCCUUCAGUUUCUGGAAAUGUUUGAUUUUGGUAGGACUACUAACCUUGCCCUGAUUUGUUUAGUUUUCUAUUCAUCUAAAAUGCAGUCAAGAUUACUAUUUAUAGAUGUAAAUAUUAAUGUAACAGUUAUGGUAAUUAGAUAUGAAGGUGUUUAUUUUCAUAUGUUCUCAGUGAGACUGAUCAGAAUUAUCUUUCUCUGAGUAGCAUUUACAGAAUCACAGAAUGGCUGAGGUUGCCAGGGAUCUCUGGACAUCUUCUGAUCCAACCCCACUGCUUCAACCUAAUGAGGUUCAACAAGUCCAAGUGCAAGUGUUUCAUUGAGAAAAAAAAUGUAAUGAAGGAAAACUGCUUCAGAAAGGACUUUAUAAUGAAAAAGAAUGGGAAGAAUAGGAAAUUAAUUAUCGACCUACCUACCUACCUACCUAUCUACUUCACAGUGCAUUACCCUUUGGCUACUUAUCUGUUUGUUUAUGGUGCUGACAAUUCAUUACCUUCUGAUCUCUCAUCAGACGUCUUUGCUAAUGAAGACCAGAACCUUUAUGGGUAAUUCACCUCCUGCAGUUCUGAAACAUGCUUUCUACUAUUCACUGAAUGGUUUAACUAAGUGAGAAGGCAUUAGCUUUGAUUUACCUUUAGAUUCUGAUGAAUAGAACUGCCUUACAAGAAGUUUUGGGAGAAUUUUUCCUGCAGUUUCAUAGAUAUUCUUGUUUUUCUUAUAAUGACAAACUAUUUAACUAAAAUAGAUAACUGUAUUAUAAUUGCAUUAACAGGUAUUUAAUUGUUACUCUGCUUAUACCAUAGUUACUUGAACAUUUUUAAAGGCUCCUAAUUAAAAUUUAUGCAGGCA